UACGUAGGGUGCGAGCGUUAAUCGGAAUUACUGGGCGUAAAGCGUGCGCAGGCGGUGAGCUGUGUCCGAUGUGAAAGCCCCGGGCUUAACCUGGGAAUGGCAUUGGAAACUGGCUCGCUGGAGUGUGGCAGAGGGGGGUGGAAUUCCGCGUGUAGCAGUGAAAUGCGUAGAGAUGCGGAGGAACACCGAUGGUGAAGGCAGCCCCCUGGGCUAACACUGACGCUCAGGCACGAAAGCGUGGGGAGCAAACAGG
rnacentral:rRNA from 1 species